rnacentral:misc_RNA from 1 species
AAAAGAUUCAAUAACACCAGCUGAUCCUCCUCGAACCUGCAAGUUGACUGAAGCGUUGACUUUGAGUCGAAUGCCUUGAUGGGAAAUGGAAGAAGAGAGCUUCGUUACGAUUUUCCCUUCCACUGGUUCAUUAGGGCGAUAAAUGCGGUUGGAUCGCGAAAGUUUGAUCUCUACUGACAUGACGAUGAAGACGGAAAAAAGGAACAAAGCUUCUAAGAGCCAAAAAAACUCCGGGAGUUUUCGCCGGAUUUAUCGCCGGAAUUUUAUUUGCACCGGCCGGAUCAGCCGAAACCCG